GCCCGGUUAGCUCAGUUGGUAGAGCGUUGGGCUUUUAACCCAAAUGUCGAGGGUUCGACCCCCUCAUCGGGCG
rnacentral:tRNA from 1 species